rnacentral:piRNA from 1 species
UGAAUGUGUUCUGAGCCAGAGAGAA